AGAGUUUGAUCCUGGCUCAGGAUGAACUUCUGGCGGCGCGCCUAACACAUGCAAGUCGAACGAGAAGCACCUCUUCGGAGGUGUGGAUAGUGGCGAACGGCUGAGUAACACGUGGGCAACCUGCCCCUCUCAUCGGGAUAGCCUCGGGAAACCGGGGAUAAUACCGGAUACUCCGACGCUUUCGCAUGGAAGCGUUGGGAAAGCUCUGGCGGAGAGGGAUGGGCCCGCGGCCUGUUAGCUAGUUGGCGGGGUAACGGCCCACCUAACCGACGAUGCGUAGGGGUUCUGAGAGGAAGGUCCCCCACACUGGUACUGAGACACGGACCAGACUCCUACGGGAGGCAGCAGUGAGGAAUAUUGGUCAAUGGUCGGGAGACUGAACCAGCCAAGCCGCGUGAGGGAGGAAGGUACAGAGUAUCGUAAACCUCUUUUGUCAGGGAACAAAGGCGGGGACGUGUCCCCGGAUGAGUGUACCUGAAGAAAAAGCAUCGGCUAACUCCGUGCCAGCAGCCGCGGUAAUACGGAGGAUGCGAGCGUUAUCCGGAUUUAUUGGGUUUAAAGGGUGCGCAGGCGGUCUGUUAAGUCAGCGGUCAAAGCCCGGGGCUCAACCCCGGCCCGCCGUUGAAACUGGCAGUCUCGAGUUGGAGAGAAGUAUGCGGAAUGCGCGGUGUAGCGGUGAAAUGCAUAGAUAUCGCGCAGAACUCCGAUUGCGAAGGCAGCAUGCCGGCUCCACACUGACGCUGAGGCACGAAAGCGUGGGUAUCGAACAGGAUUAGAUACCCUGGUAGUCCACGCAGUAAACGAUGAAUGCUGGCUGUCCGGGGGGAUUGACCCCUGGGUGGCGAAGCGAAAGCGAUAAGCAUUCCACCUGGGGAGUACGCCGGCAACGGUGAAACUCAAAGGAAUUGACGGGGGCCCGCACAAGCGGAGGAACAUGUGGUUUAAUUCGAUGAUACGCGAGGAACCUUACCCGGGCUCAAACGGGGAGUGACUCAGGCAGAGACGCCUGUUUCCCACGGGACACUCCCCGAGGUGCUGCAUGGUUGUCGUCAGCUCGUGCCGUGAGGUGUCGGCUUAAGUGCCAUAACGAGCGCAACCCCCGCGUGCAGUUGCUAACAGAUAACGCUGAGGACCCUGCACGGACUGCCGGCGCAAGCCGCGAGGAAGGCGGGGAUGACGUCAAAUCAGCACGGCCCUUACGUCCGGGGCGACACACGUGUUACAAUGGGUGGUACAGCGGGAAGCCAGGCGGCGACGCCGAGCGGAACCCGAAAUCCACUCUCAGUUCGGAUCGGAGUCUGCAACCCGACUCCGUGAAGCUGGAUUCGCUAGUAAUCGCGCAUCAGCCAUGGCGCGGUGAAUACGUUCCCGGGCCUUGCACACACCGCCCGUCAAG
rnacentral:rRNA from 1 species